rnacentral:lncRNA from 1 species
GUGAAAUAGUGAUGUCUCUUCCCAUUUAUUCUAAAACUAUCUCCCCUAUUAACCAAGACAAUAGUCAAGUUCAUUUCAUUUUGCAAUGUCUUUGGAUGUUAAGGUUUGACAUAAUACUCAGUGGUGAGUCAACCACUUCCUCCCCUAGACAGAACUUGAUAAACUUUUUGCAUGGGACUGUACAGUUAGACAAUGUUACCAUUAAACAUUAUUGUAAUGAAGAUACUUUCUGAUCAGAUAAGUGCAAUUGCUAAAGAGGAAAUAUACAUCAUCAUCAUCAUAAUGGAACACUAGCAUUUGAUUGGACAAGAACUGAGUGAUGGAGAUCGGAAG